CCUACGGGAGGCAGCAGUAGGGAAUCUUCCACAAUGGGCGAAAGCCUGAUGGAGCAACGCCGCGUGGGUGAAGAAGGUCUUCGGAUCGUAAAACCCUGUUGUUAGAGAAGAAAGUGCGUGAGAGUAACUGUUCACGUUUCGACGGUAUCUAACCAGAAAGCCACGACUAACUACGUGCCAGCAGCCGCGGUAAUACGUAGGUGGCAAGCGUUAUCCGGAUUUAUUUGGCGUAAAGGGAACGCAGGCGGUCUUUUAAGUCUGAUGUGAAAGCCUUCGGCUUAACCGGAGUAGUGCAUUGGAAACUGGGAGACUUGAGUGCAGAAGAGGAGAGUGGAACUCCAGGUGUAGCGGUGAAAUGCGUAGAUAUAUGGAAGAACACCAGUGGCGAAAGCGGCUCUCUGGUCUGUAACUGACGCUGAGGUUCGAAAGCGUGGGUAGCAAACAGGAUUAGAUACCCGUGUAGUC
rnacentral:rRNA from 1 species